GGAUUGCACAGUUUACAGUAGCAUCAAGGCUGCUUAAUGGACACCCUCCAGAUGCCCUCUGCUAGCUAGGGAGCUAAGAGAAUGUGUCACUGAUAAGGAAGUCAUUUAGAAGGCAUUUCUAGGAUAUCAUCAGUCAGCCUUAUAAGCAGCACAGCAGGAAGGAGAUCAAGGAGACCAAAGCAAUUAGCAAGCAAAAGUUAACUCCCUGAUGAGGCUGCAAGAUCUCUGAAUUCUAAUACUUCUAUGACCUGUACUACCACAGCAUCUGCAUGCCUCACAAUCUGUAAUGGAUUUAUCCUGAACCACCCCU